AACCCAAUCUUCACAAAACAAACGCCAAACCCUGACAUUAUCAGCCAUCCCUUCCUCUCUCAUCUCUCUCCCCUUUCUUCUCUUAAUCCUUGUUCAAACUUCAAACUAAUCCAAUCAUCCAGUUAUCUGGGCGAAUACCUCUCUCUCAUCUCUCUCAAACUGAAUUGGGGUUUCUUUCAGAUCUGAGGUGAAUCGACAAGAAAAUCUGAUUUGGCUCCAAACUAAUUUGGGUUUCUCAUCUUACCUACUUGGAUUCCGCCGAAGUGGACAUAGCCUUGCAGCGAUGGUCAUACAAGGUAACCCUUUAUUCUGCGUUAUUUAGUUCCUCGAUUUCUAGAGUUUCUCUAGUUUUCCAAGGACGCUCUGGUUUACAGUGAAAAGAAACGGCAAUUCUAAAGCAGAGCGGUGGCGGCGGCGGAAGGAAGAGGAAGGAUGUGAGCUCCGAGGACGAGUCUUCUAAGAUGGUUUCUUCUAAGAUGGCUUCAAUCUUUUUACUGGUCCGUGAAUUUCAGGCCUUAAAGGGCACUCUAGUUCGGCAUGGAUUUACCUUUCAAUCUGAAACAGACACAGAAGUUAUUCCAAAGCUUGCCAAAUAUGUCUUUGAUAAAGCUAAAGAAGGAGAAGGUGACCAGACUAUCACAUUUAGUCAAGUAGUGCAUGAGGUUAUGAGGCAUCUUGAAGGAGCCUAUGCGCUGAUUUUUAAAAGCCGGCAUUAUCCAAAUGAGUUGAUUGCUUGUAAACGUGGCAGUCCGUUGCUCCUUGGUGUGAAAGAACUUAAUGAAAAUGCUAGCAAUAGUUCUGCAUUUCAUGAUGAUAAUUUCCUUUCAAAAAGUGGACAUCCUAAAGAACUCUUCUUGUCCAGUGAUGCAAAUGCCGUAGUUGAACACACCAAAAAGGUUUUGGUGAUUGAGGAUGGUGAAUUGGUUCAUCUUAAGGAAGCAGAAUUCAUAAGACAUAUCGACUCAAAGCUGGCUUUUGGGAAUCGAUUAAAUCUGGUUUUCAGUCAGCAUGUCUUUGCACGAUACAACAUUUUGCUUUAUUUGCACUCAUUUAACCUCAGGAGAGAAGGAUUGGAGGGUGAUGAGCUAAGAAGGAAUUCUGAUGUCAUGGAGAUCCUAAAGAAGACAAGUUUCCAAAGGUUAUUGGCUCUAGCGCGUUGAAAAACCCAGAAACAACCCUGGAGCAUGAGUAAGAGUCUUGCUGAUCAACUAUUGAUUAAAGACUGAUUACAACUUAAGCAUAUGUAAAAAAAUGCAUGAUCAGUUGAAGCUCUCAAAACCACUCUGGAAGGCUCCCUCCUAAUACCAGAGACGAACGAUGCAAGGACAAGGUUGCACCUAUAUAUGUAAUGGUACCCAUGAUCACAGGAAUAUAGCAUUUCCGGCGUAUAAAGCUUUUGAGGCUGUCGCGGUUGCUUUACAUAAUGGUUAUUUUUCCAUUUCCUGCCCGUUGAUAACAUCCUUGUGUAUUUCGAUCAAUUAUCGUCUUACAAUGUAAAUAUGACAUUUGAAUUUGAUAUGAGGGUAAUAUGAAUAUGAGUAUAUGACA